CGGCGCCGGGUAGGCGAGGCCCCAUUCAAGGCUGUGCGUCGAAUGGCACCAGGAGGAGGGUAGAGCAGCUCAUCAAGGCUUCCACAGUCGUGUUCCAGUGCCCCUGAACACAUCCAGACACGCUGGCGCGAGUCUUCGAAGGAGGCGUAUUUUCUUUUCUGCCCCUCCGCAUCGGGACUAUUGGGUGCUCCUCUCCUCAUGAACGCCGCCGACAUGCCCAACACGUCCGCCAAGCUCCGCGAGAGUAGGGAGCCGCUGUCGGAGGUGCGGAUCAGUGACCAGGUGGUUCAGAGCUGUCUGCGGCACGCCUUCCCGACAGGAGGAGGAGGUCAUGGGGCUGCUGCUGAGCCGCAUUGAGGUACAGCCCUUCACGGAGACGCACAUGGACGGCAGUCGCGAUGCCGGCUUCCCCGCGAGUCAGACGGAUGGCGCCGUCAAUGGCGUCUGCAGCCGUGGCAGCGCCACCGCCGUCAGCACCGCCGGCGCAGCACCUGCGACGCUUUCCUCCUCGGCGGCCAAACGGGAAAAGGUGGCCUACAUUUGGGGCACGCACAUCGGGGAGCGUAAUGUGCAGCGCAGCGAUCGAGUAGAGAUGUCGGCCGAGUCCGUUGCGUCAGCUACCGAAGCGGCAGAUCGCAUGACGACUGACACAAGAGCGCUCACCUACAUGGUGGGAUGGCAUCACAGCCAUCCGAGGAUUCCAGCCGUGCCGUCGUCUGUGGACCUAUGCACGCAGAGGAGGUUUCAACAGUACACGGAGAGCGGCUGAGUCGGCCUCAUCGCGAGCGUCUUCAACACAGAGACGAACAUCACUUGCGGUCACUGCGCGUUUCACUGCUUCCAGGCGGGGCUGGGCAACGAGCAUGUGGAGGUGCCCAUGCGUACCGUUCCCCAGUCCGACCUGUUUGCCUCCCUUGACCCUAUCGGUGAGCUGCGGGACACCACACCAAGGCUGCUGCAGGUCUUGCAGCAGGAGGUGCGCGACGCGGUCGCAGCAGCGGUGCGGGAAAGCGCGUACGACACGACCACCUCGCGAGCGGCGCGAGCACUGGCGGAAGUGCAACGAUUUCAGAUCGACCGCCUUGUUGCAGAGCCGACACGCAAGGAGCUGGUACACUGCUCGCUGCCCCUCUUGCGCGCCGAGGUGGCGCGCCUGGAGGCGGCGUUGGCCGAGACCGCGAGAGCCGCGCCACCGCCUCAGCAUUGACAGACGCGUUUAUAGGCGUGUGCUGCUGCAACAGGCAUCGGGGAUGGAAGGAGGAGCUGAGAGUCUCACUGCUCCUCCACGGGCCUCGGUAGACCCGCCGCCCUCUCCUCCUCGUCUUUGCCUGUGCCCUUCGCCUUCCAGCAGGAUGGGGGUAUGCGAACGGGCACCAUGGCGGACAGGACAAGCACUCACGGUAACACGCACGUGGACGAACUCGUCUGCGCGCGUUCUGAUUCUGAGUUCAUUACGCAGAAGUCGGCCGAGCUUUCUCAUCCUUGGCGCGCUCCCUGCAGUGCAUACAUUUUGCGUCGGCGCAGCAGGAGUCGCCGCCAUGGCGGUGCCUCCUGCUGCCCUUCCCUCUUGUCUUCCGUGAACGGAGCAGCACGGCCGCUUGCGUGCGCUUCUCGCUUCUGUUUGGCUCUCUCGCCGGUUGCGCGGGAUGCCCAAAGACAACGUGCGCGCACACACACACACACAACACAUACACGGACACCUGGUCACAGUCCGCAUGCAAAGGAUUCAUCGAGCUGCCAUCACCGCGGACGCCACUGCACACGCGCACACAUCCACUUCCAUCUCUCCCUUCCAGGACCUUGUGCUAUGCUCUUGGAUCUGCCCGCUCUUUCCCUUCUCCUUGAUGCGGAAAAGUGUCUUGCUCUCCCGUAUGGAGGGGGGGGGCGAAGGGCGGGGGAGCGAGGCGGGGCGCAGGUAUUCCUUUCGGACGGCCCCCGCCAGCAGUGACGUACGGUCGUAUAUAUGCGUGUGGGGCGCGCUAGCUCUCUCGCUCUCCUCCUUGCUUUGAGGAGGAUGCCAACUGGUUUUACUACCUUAUCUCUGAGUUCCAGUCAGCCCCACCCCGUGCCCCGCCCUCAUCGUGCCCGCCGCCGAGGUUCGGCAUGCUGGGUAAAGGAAUAGUGAGGGGGGUCUCUUGCAUUUUCGUAGAGUUCAUCC
rnacentral:misc_RNA from 1 species